rnacentral:rRNA from 1 species
UACGUAGGGCGCAAGCGUUAUCCGGAAUUAUUGGGCGUAAAGGGCUCGUAGGCGGUCUGUUGCGUCGGGAGUGAAAACUUACAGCUUAACUGUGAGCGUGCUUUCGAUACGGGCAGACUUGAGGCAUUCAGGGGAGAACGGAAUUCCUGGUGUAGCGGUGAAAUGCGUAGAUAUCGGGAGGAACACCAGCGGCGAAGGCGGCACUCUGGGCUGGUACUGACGCUGAGGAGCGAAAGCGUGGGUAGCAAACAGG